UACAGAGGUCUCGAGCGUUGUUCGGAUUCAUUGGGCGUAAAGGGUGCGUAGGUGGCGCUGUAAGUCAGGUGUGAAAUUUCGGAGCUUAACUCCGAAACUGCAUUUGAUACUGCGGUGCUUGAGGACUGGAGAGGAGACUGGAAUUUACGGUGUAGCAGUGAAAUGCGUAGAGAUCGUAAGGAAGACCAGUGGCGAAAGCGGCUCACUGGACCACAACUGACGCUGAGGCGCGAAAGCUAGGGGAGCAAACAGG
rnacentral:rRNA from 1 species